CACGAUGUAGCUCAACGGCGGAGCAGGCCCCUCAUAAGGGAAAGGAUGCUGGUUCGAGUCCAGCCAUCGUGA
rnacentral:tRNA from 1 species